GGGUUCUGGGAAACUUCAUUCCCUUUCUCUUUUCUUUUCUUAAACCAUAAACUCCAGCAGUGGGAGUAUGGCGGUGCACGUAGGAAAAUUCUUCCUCUUCCUCUUCUUGAUUCUUCGUACCACAGUUGCGACCUUGUAGGGGAGAAGAUCUAAUUGUGGUUUUCGGCAGUGGCGUGUUUCGCUUUAGAGCUUGUUGCUCCUUUCGACCUUGUUCGAACUCGCGGAGUAGGAAGAGUAGACGUCUUCCUUCCUUCUCUUCUUCUUGGUUCUGCUAGGGGUUUUGUAGGUAGGGGAUAAGCUUACCGGUGGCUAGGACGCGAACCCUUCUACGUGGCACGGUGAGGGUGCGGCAGCGAUGGCGUCCCGGCGGUGCUUGUGAGGACCGUAAAUUUUUAGGAGAGAUGGGGACAGGGCAGUCACCCACUCCUUGCAUUAUUGGAAUGCAUUAUUGGAGUACAAUUAUUGGGGGAAGCUUGGAAGGGGGGGUCUUUCAUGAUUGGCAUGUGAGAGGGAGAGAGAGAGCAGAUGGGGAGUAACAUCCAGCCAUUUCCAGCAGCACCAGGGGAAGAUGAAGUGGUGAUCUCGGUCAAGCAGAAAUAGCUUGAGAAAGGAGCAUCCAAGGCUUGGAGAUGAAGCACUUGCUGCCACGACCCACUCCAACUGGAAGGAAAUAACACACGUUUGGAGAGCUUCAUUAAUGGUUUGGAGAGAACACCGUCCAACGUUCCAGCAGCUUGGAGAAUAAUUCACGUUUGCAGCCGCCACCAUGGUGGGAGACUUUGGUCCUUCAAGCGUCCAACAACCUUGAACAUCCAACAUCUCCAAUCUUCCCAACGUAACUAUCAAGUAGAAAGGACAAUCAGCAACUGCACCGUCCUCCAUCAGCACUAGCCUUCAACCAUAGGAGCAGCCAACCCAUUAAGAAUUCACGGCUGGAAGAAAAAUCAAGUGGAGUCCUUAUAACAAAAAUCCGGGAGUGGAAGGGUAGAUCUUGAACUGUACGUCUGAGGUAGAUUAAUCCCAAAAUUUUAAGGAAGUCUUCAAGAGUGCUCUGAGGGGGUCGCGGAAGCUUUCCUCCAUCGAAUCAACCCGCAAUGGUGGAUGCGGGUUCAGUUCUGACCAUCACUCCUGACGCGUUGAUCUCUGGCGACAACAGCAAGGGCGAGUGAUUGCCUUAUCCGGCGAUGACAACGUCAACGACGAGUUGUGAUUGAGAAAUUCUUGACUCUACAAUUUAGGGUUCCUUUUGUUAUUUGAUUUUGGAGAUCAGGUUUUGCUGAAAGUGGGAAAUUAGGGAUUUUCUGAUGUAAUUGAAAUUACAAUGUUUGAAUUGGGAUCUUGAUUUCUGUUUUCGUUUCUGAGCUUCAAAUUGAUUUCAUUGAUUUUCA